rnacentral:rRNA from 1 species
GUGGGGAAUAUUGGACAAUGGGCGAAAGCCUGAUCCAGCCAUGCCGCGUGUGUGAAGAAGGUCUUCGGAUUGUAAAGCACUUUAAGUUGGGAGGAAGGGCAGUAAGUUAAUACCUUGCUGUUUUGACGUUACCAACAGAAUAAGCACCGGCUAACUUCGUGCCAGCAGCCGCGGUAAUACGAAGGGUGCAAGCGUUAAUCGGAAUUACUGGGCGUAAAGCGCGCGUAGGUGGUUCAGCAAGUUGGAGGUGAAAUCCCCGGGCUCAACCUGGGAACUGCCUCCAAAACUACUGAGCUAGAGUACGGUAGAGGGUAGUGGAAUUUCCUGUGUAGCGGUGAAAUGCGUAGAUAUAGGAAGGAACACCAGUGGCGAAGGCGACUACCUGGACUGAUACUGACACUGAGGUGCGAAAGCGUGGGGAGCAAACAGGAUUAGAUACCCGAGUAGUC